rnacentral:lncRNA from 1 species
ACUAUGUAGCCAGUUGGGCCUUGAACUCAAGAUUCUCCUGCUUCAAGUCUCCUAGGCACUGAAUUGCGAGCCAGUGCUACCUACCAUGCCAGGCUACACCUUAGAUAUUUGGUUAGCUGACAACUCAGUGAGAUUGGCAUGAAAUAGAACAUGAAAGGUUGCUGGCACUGUAGCUCUGUGACAGCACUUAUCUGCCUUGGGCAAGGCCUGGGUCCAACCCUUGGUACUAAUCAAUUAAUCAAUUGGUACGUAGCCAAGUCUAGUAGUACACGCCUAUUAUCCCAGUACCUGAGUUGCUGGAAAGGUUGGGGAUUUGAGGUCGUUCUUGGCCACAUAAUAAACUCAAGGACAGCCCAGUUACAUGAAAUCUCCUCUUUAAAAUCUGAAAAAGAAAAUCUCUGUAAGUUGGCUUUGAUCCUCGCCUCUUGCCACCGGAUUUCCUCAGGAACCAGUAGCUCCUGGUUACUCCUCAACCUUCACAGCUCCUUUGCUGAAACCUAUACGAUUGGCCACCCCCCCCCCAUUUUAGAGUUAUUUCUUCAGGGAACUUCUCUCUUUGCCACUGUUUCGCUAAAUGUUACCCCACCUCUCUGCUCCCUAAAUCAGGAUUUCCCCAGUUCCCUUUUGCUUUUUCUGUUUCCAUGGAAACCUCCUCUGGUCCCACCCAGUGGUGAAGACUCUAUCUAGCUCUGGUCUCACAGUUUCAGUUGACUUCUGAUCAUCUCCAUCUUGGUGACUCAUGAAGUCUUCAAAUGUCGGAUGCCCAGAAGAGGGGCAGGGGUCUUUCCUUUAGAAUGUGUACUUCGUCCACAACUUACCCAAAGCAGACAGGCAUUCUCCCUUUCUCAUGAAGCACGAAAAUAUAAUCCUGUAAUUACAUCCAAUAAAUGGGUCUGCCUGAAGCCCAGCCCUAAAUCACUUGGUCCAGAAUUGUCACUAUCCCCCACUGCUGUGGAUGCUUUGAGAAUAAAGCCUUGGGCUGGAGAGAUGGCUCAGCCACUAAAGUCUAGGCUCAUAACCACAAACAUAAGAGAAGAAAG